rnacentral:piRNA from 1 species
UCAUUGCUUUUGAGCUUGUGGUAAGGCACAC